CAAAGGUAGCAUAAUCAUUAGAGGUUUAAUUGGAAUCUGGUAUGAAUGGUUGGACAAAAGAAGAACUGUCUUUGUAAUAUAGUUUGAAAUUUACAUUUAAGUGAAAAGGCUUAAAUAAGUCAAGGGGACGAUAAGACCCUAUAAAGCUUUAUAAAUAAUUUAAAUUUAAUUAAAUUAAGUAAUAAAAGUUAAAUUUAAUUAUUUUAUUUCGUUGGGGUGAUGUGAGUAUAAUUAUAGUUAACUGCUUAGAAAGAAUUCUGUAAUAAAAGAGUUAAUAGUUAUAUGAUCCUUUGUAAAGAUUAAAAGACCAAGUUACUUUAGGGGUAACAGCGUUAUUUCUUUAGAGAGUUCAUAUCGAAAAAGAAGAUUGCGACCUCGAUGUUGAAUUAAAAUAUCUAUAUAAUGCAGCUGUUAUAAAAGAGGGUCUGUUCGACCUUUAAAUUUUUACAUGAUUUGAGUUC
rnacentral:rRNA from 1 species